rnacentral:rRNA from 1 species
UGGCGUGGGGGAGAAAAAAACUGGAAACUGAAACAUCUUAGUACCAGAAUAAAAAAUCAACCGAGAUCCCAAAAGUAGUGAGAACGAAAAUGGGGAAAUUUAUCGAACAAAGAGGGUAAAUAUUUAACAGUCCCGUAGAUAGAACAUAUGAAAAAGGAGAAAACUAGGGCCUACCAUUGAAAAAAAUGGGGGGGACCCUUCGGGUCCCCGAAAAAAUAGACGUCAAUUGGGGCCCCGCCCCCUUUUUCAAAAAAAAAAGAAAUACCGAUAGUGAAAUAGUACUGUGAAGGAAAGUUGAAAGAGAGUUGAAAUAGAACCGGAAAUCCUAAAAAAAAAGCAGUAGGUCUAUAGAGCCUGCGUACCUUUUGCAUAAGUGGUUCGCAAGUUUUUAAUUUGGCAAACUUGAACCGUAAGGUUGAGGUGUUACGAAAGUGAAAAAAAGUCAAAUGAACCCGAAACCAAGUGAUCUACCCCUGAUCUGGCGUGGGCGAAGGGUCCAAAAGGGCUCCGUGCCGCGGCCUAACCGGUGGAUGUGGCAAAAUCCUCGGAUGAAUUGGGGGUAGUGGUGAUACGCCAAUCGCACUUGGAUAUAGCUGGUUUUCUGCGAAAACUAUCUAAGUAGUGCCGACACUCCCUUUUUGUCGAGUCAGACAUAGGACGAUAAGGCCCUUUGUCUAAUGGGAAACAACCCAAAUCAUUAGUUAAGGACAUUAAUAAA